rnacentral:rRNA from 1 species
CAGUAGCCACGGUAAUACGAAGGGGGCUAGCGUUGCUCGGAAUUACUGGGCGUAAAGGGAGCGUAGGCGGAUAUUUAAGUCAGGGGUGAAAUCCCGGGGCUCAACCUCGGAAUUGCCUUUGAUACUGGGUGUCUUGAGUAUGAGAGAGGUAUGUGGAACUCUGAGUGUAGAGGUGAAAUUCGUAGAUAUUCGGAAGAACACCAGUGGCGAAGGCGACAUACUGGCUCAUUACUGACGCUGAGGCGCGAAAGCGUGGGGAGCAAACAGGAUUAGAUACCCCGGUAGUCCCUGUCUCUUAUAC